GUGGGGAAUCUUCCACAAUGGACGAAAGUCUGAUGGAGCAACGCCGCGUGAGUGAAGAAGGGUUUCGGCUCGUAAAGCUCUGUUGUCGGGGACGAAUGUGCAGUAUUUGAAUAAAGUAGUGCAAUGACGGUACCUGACGAGGAAGCCACGGCUAACUACGUGCCAGCAGCCGCGGUAAUACGUAGGUGGCAAGCGUUGUCCGGAAUUAUUGGGCGUAAAGGGAGCGCAGGCGGGAAGGUAAGUCGGUCUUAAAAGUGCGGGGCUCAACCCCGUGAUGGGAUCGAAACUAUCUUUCUUGAGUGCAGGAGAGGAAAGUGGAAUUCCUAGUGUAGCGGUGAAAUGCGUAGAUAUUAGGAGGAACACCAGUGGCGAAGGCGACUUUCUGGACUGUAACUGACGCUGAGGCUCGAAAGCCAGGGGAGCGAACGGGAUUAGAAACCCGAGUAGUCC
rnacentral:rRNA from 1 species